rnacentral:rRNA from 1 species
GACGAAGGGGGCUAGCGUUGUUCGGAAUUACUGGGCGUAAAGCGCGUGUAGGCGGUUGUCCAAGUUGGAUGUGAAAGCCUUGAGCUCAACUCAAGAAAUGCAUUCAGGACUGGGCGACUAGAGGACCGGAGAGGAUAGUGGAAUUCCCAGUGUAGUGGUGAAAUACGUAGAGAUUGGGAAGAACACCAGUGGCGAAGGCGGCUAUCUGGACGGUUUCUGACGCUGAGGAGCGAAAGCGUGGGGAGCAAACAGG